CAAGUCGAGGGCGGGGAGGGGCGACUCUUCCCGACCGGCGAACGGGUGCGUAACACGUGAGCGACCUGCCUUCCCGCGGGGGAUAGCCGGCCCAACGCCCGGGUAAUACCGCAUACGCUCGACUCGGGGCAUACCGGGGCGAGGAAACUUCCGGGGCGGGGAGAGGGGCUCGCGGCCUAUCAGCUAGUUGGCGGGGUAACGGCCCACCAAGGCGGUGACGGGUAGCUGGUCUGAGAGGAUGGCCAGCCACAUUGGGACUGAGAGACGGCCCAGACUCCUACGGGAGGCAGCAGUGGGGAAUCUUGCGCAAUGGGAGCAAUCCUGACGCAGCGACGCCGCGUGGGGGAGGAAGGGCUUCGGCUCGUAAACCCCUGUUGCCCGGGGCGAACCUUGGGUUUCGACCCAACUGACGGUACCGGGUGAGGAAGCACCGGCUAACUCCGUGCCAGCAGCCGCGGUAAUACGGAGGGUGCGAGCGUUGUCCGGAAUCACUGGGCGUAAAGGGCGCGUAGGCGGCCGAGCAAGGUCGCGGUGAAAGCCCGGGGCUCAACCCCGGGUCGGCCGUGGCAACUACUCGGCUCGAGCACUGUAGGGGCGGGUGGAAUUCCGGGUGUAGCGGUGGAAUGCGUAGAGAUCCGGAAGAACACCGGUGGCGAAGGCGGCCCGCUGGGCAGGAAGGCAGAGCAAUCUGCCGGCUGACGCUGAGGCGCGACAGCGUGGGGAGCAAACAGGAUUAGAUACCCUGGUAGUCCACGCCGUAAACGAUGGGCACUAGGUGCCUGGGGGAACGACCCUCCGGGUGCCGGCGCUAACGCAUUAAGUGCCCCCGCCUGGGGAGUACGGCCCGCAAGGCUGAAACUC
rnacentral:rRNA from 1 species